AGAGACAGCAGUGCCGCGGGAAUACAGAGGGUGCGAGCGUUAAUCGGAUUUACUGGGCGUAAAGCGUGCGUAGGCGGCUUCUUAAGUCGGAUGUGAAAUCCCUGAGCUUAACUUAGGAAUUGCAUUCGAUACUGGGAAGCUAGAGUAUGGGAGAGGAUGGUAGAAUUCCAGGUGUAGCGGUGAAAUGCGUAGAGAUCUGGAGGAAUACCGAUGGCGAAGGCAGCCAUCUGGCCUAAUACUGACGCUGAGGUACGAAAGCAUGGGGAGCAAACAGGAUUAGAUACCCCAGUAGUCCCUGUCUCUUAUACA
rnacentral:rRNA from 1 species